rnacentral:rRNA from 1 species
GACGAACGCUGGCGGCGUGCUUAACACAUGCAAGUCGAACGGAAAGGCCCUGCGUUUGUGGGGUGCUCGAGUGGCGAACGGGUGAGUAACACGUGAGUAACCUGCCCUUGACUUUGGGAUAACUUCAGGAAACUGGGGCUAAUACCGGAUAGGAGCUCCUGCUGCAGGGUGGGGGUUGGAAAGUUUCGGCGGUUGGGGAUGGACUCGCGGCUUAUCAGCUUGUUGGUGGGGUAGUGGCUUACCAAGGCUUUGACGGGUAGCCGGCCUGAGAGGGUGACCGGCCACAUUGGGACUGAGAUACGGCCCAGACUCCUACGGGAGGCAGCAGUGGGGAAUCUUGCACAAUGGGCGGAAGCCUGAUGCAGCAACGCCGCGUGCGGGAUGACGGCCUUCGGGUUGUAAACCGCUUUCGCCUGUGACGAAGCGUGAGUGACGGUAAUGGGUAAAGAAGCACCGGCUAACUACGUG